GGAAUUUCUAGUGUAGAGGUGAAAUUCGUAGAUAUUAGAAAGAACACCAAUUGCGAAGGCAACUUUCUGGAUCAUUACUGACACUGAGGAGCGAAAGCAUGGGUAGCGAAGAGGAUUAGAUACCCUCGUAGUCCAUGCCGUAAACGAUGUGUGCUAGACGUUGGAAAUUUAUUUUCAGUGUCGCAGCAAAAGCAUUAAGCACACCGCCUGGGGAGUACGACCGCAAGGUUAAAACUCAAAUGAAUUGACGGGGACCCGCACAAGCAGUGGAGCAUGUGGUUUAAUUCGAAGAUACGCGCAGAACCUUACCAACACUUGACAUGUUCGUCGCGACUUUAAGAGAUUAAAGUCUUCGGUUCGGCCGGACGAAACACAGGUGCUGCAUGGCUGUCGUCAGCUCGUGUCGUGAGAUGUUGGGUUAAGUCCCGCAACGAGCGCAACCCUUACUUUUAGUUGCCAUCAUUUAGUUGGGCACUCUAAAAGAACUGCCAGUGAUAAGCUGGAGGAAGGUGGGGAUGACGUCAAGUCCUCAUGGCCCUUACGUGUUGGGCUACACACGUGCUACAAUGGUAUUUACAAUAGGAAGCAAGAUGGCGACAUCAAGCAAAUCCUAAAAAAAUACCUCAGUUCGGAUUGUACUCUGCAACUCGAGUACAUGAAGCUGGAAUUGCUAGUAAUCGCGGAUCAGCGCGCCGCGGUGAAUACGUUCCCGGGUCUUGUACACACCGCCCGUCACACCAUGGAAGCUGGUUCUACCUUAAGGCAAAGCAUAAAACCUUUGACCACGGUAUAGUCAGCGACUGGGGUGAAGUCGUAACAAGGUAACC
rnacentral:rRNA from 1 species